ACUGUGGACGGGGUCCCUGGGCUUUCCCCUAGGGUCCCAUCAGCUGCUUAUGUUCUACCUUCUGACGGAUCACAGGAGGAGCCUGCAGCGGAGGAGCCUCCUCCUCCUCAGCAUCAGACCUAAAGGGAGUGUCCUGCCUGAAGGACCGGCUCAAGGUCGCACUAACAGCUCUUGCUAACUCCUGUUCCAGGCUGUUUAUCUGGGCCUCCAAGUACCCUGCUUGCGCCUGGAGGUCUCUCACCCCCAGGUCCUGCUCAAAGCUGUGCACUUGGGCCCCCAGGCAUGCGGCUUGCUCCGGAAGGUCCCUUACCUGUGGCACUGAGCAUGUACUUCCUGCAGUGCAGUUAGAAAUGCCCAUCCGACUCUGCUUGCAAAGGCACAGCUGCUUAAAGACUGUUACCGGAAAGGAAUCCUGAUCCAGACGCCAAGAGAGGGUUCUUGGACUCAUGCAAGAAAGACUUCAGGACAGAGAUCAUGGAAGUUGGGCCCGACUGGAUGAGAUUUGGGGGUCUUUGGAAGUGGAGAAUGUGUUUGCCCUGGGGAAGAGAGGUGAUGUCUAGGAGACCUCUUCACUCAGGGCAAGCUCUAUGACCUGCUUUGACUCCAGAAUGUGGUAGAAGUGGCAUCACAUAAAUUGCAGAGCCUAGGCUUCAAGAGACCUUGCAACUUGCCUCUCACUGACUUGAAGUGCUCCCAUCAGAGCAUCUUGUAAGGAGCAGGUGGAGCAUGUGGACAAGCCAUCCCCACCAGCCCCUGAGACAUGUGAGAGAGGCCAGAACAGGCCAUCCGGACCCCACUGUGCUGGUGGAUGAGACAGCAGAAGGAAUAUCAACCUACCAACAGAAUCCUGAGAAAUGCUCACUCUUACUUCAAGCUGCUGCAUUUUGAUGUUAUGAAACCAUAAAUAACUUAUGAAGUCAUCUUUGCUGACUUAAAGUUUUCCAUAACUUUAUUAUAACAUAUCAAAAUUAUGAAAAAUGUGAAAAGUAGAAAACUGAUGAAUUUUGCUUCUUCAUAUGGUCUUUAAGAAUCUCAAAGGCACUGAAGUUUUUUAUCUUUUCUGUCUUAGAAUAAAAAACCUUGAAUGAAAAUCUGCUUCUUGGAAAAGCAGCAAGGUUUAUGCAGAGGCAAUCUGGUAUUUGUGUGCACUGGCAGCUGAUCAUACCCAGCAUGCACGCACUCUCAGGGCAGAGUCUGAUGCCCCACAUAAUGGGGCAUGGUAAGGACUCCCAUGUCCUUGAGAUAAAAUGAUAAGGAAAAUACACACUGCUAUUAGAAUAACAGGCCCAGCUUCUGCACAUUUUAAUUCCCAAAGUUUUCAUGAAAGACAAUGAUUUUUUGGUACCAUGUUUAACUCUACAAGAAUCAGUAGUGAAAACUAAAAAUGAUACUUUGUGAAAGUUCAUUAAUUUUGUUUUCAGCCAGUGGUGGCCUUGGUCAGAUAGAAUCAAAUCUAUGAUACUUUUUAUCAGAAAUGCUUAUACUGUGUACAAACCCAAAGUGAUGGCUUUCAAAGAUUGAAUUUGAUUAUUUUCUGUAUGGUGCAGAUGAAAAAUUACUACACAGGAGAAGGUGGGUUGGAGGUGCUCACGAGUAACCAGGAAACAGUCUGAAGUUUUUCUGAUACUUCUCCUUGGUCCAACCAAAUGUGAGAUAUAAACACAAACUUGGGAUUCCGUUCUUAUGUUUUGGUUGUUUCAGUCUUUACAGAUGUAUCGAAAGGCUGUCCAAAAAUGUCUGACUUCUGUAGUGUGCCUUCGUAGCACUAGAGGGUUCUGCAGCUGUGAAACUGAAGGCAUUGGCAAGAAGCCCUCCAUCUUCAAACCACUUUCUGCUAAGGUGUGGCUCUAUAAAACCACUAUGAGCUGGGCUUCACUGAGACUGAGUUGUUUCAGUAGGAUCUUCCGGAAAAACAUGUUCCCUCCUUUACCUGGGUUGUCAUUCUGAGAACAAUCACACCUCCAAUUUUGGCUUACUAAGCAAUAGCGUUUUAAUGAUUUUAAGCCAGGAUUUGCUCCUCCUUUCCUCAGUAUGAGAGCUUAACCACUGGAGGAACCAAGAAUUCAUGCUGGUUGGGUUCUGAUUCCACUUUAACUUACUGUAUAGCCUCAUCCCUUGUUUUUCUGGAGAUUCUCUUUUUCUGCUUCACUGAUUUAUAUUUACAUUAAAAUCAAAUGAGGCCAUGUUUCUGAAAUCACAUUGUCCCUACAUGGUCAUUACAAUGAGUCUGUAAUGUGACUGAAAGACAGCCAUGGAUACAGGUAGAGGAUAUCAGGCAAUUGAAUGCUCAUCAAGCAUUCAAUUCAGGGCAAAUGGCAUAAGGUAUGCAGUUGGCCUCUUCUGAUAUCUGUGUCUUAAUCCUUUCUUUAGCCUCUGUUUUCUGGACCAAGGCUAAGAUAUUUUCUGGGCACAGUGGCUCAUGCCUAUAAUCCCAGCACUCUGGGAGGCCAAGGUGGGAGGAUUUCUUCAGCCCAGGAGUUCGAGACCAGCCUGGGGAACAUAGGAGACCUCAUUCCUACAAAUAAUAAAAAAAAUUAGCCAGCU
rnacentral:lncRNA from 1 species